UUCCUACGGGACGCAGCAGUAGGGAAUUUUCGUCAAUGGGCGCAAGCCUGAACGAGCAAUGCCGCGUGAACGAGGAAGGUCUUCGGAUCGUAAAGUUCUGUUGAAGGGGAAAAAGAGCGGAGAGAGGAAAUGGUCUCCGAUUGAUAUUACCCUUCGAGGAAGCCCCGGCUAACUACGUGCCAGCAGCCGCGGUAAUACGUAGGGGGCAAGCGUUAUCCGGAAUUACUGGGUGUAAAGGGAGCGUAGACGGCUGUGCAAGUCUGGAGUGAAAGGCGGGGGCCCAACCCCCGGACUGCUCUGGAAAG
rnacentral:rRNA from 1 species